rnacentral:rRNA from 1 species
AACGAACGCUGGCGGCAUGCCUAACACAUGCAAGUCGAACGAGCCCUUCGGGUCUAGUGGCGCACGGGUGCGUCACGCGUGGGAACCUGCACUUAGGUUCGGCAUAACUACCCGAAAGGGGUGCUAAUACCGGAUAAUGUCUUCGGACCAAAGAUUUAUCGCCUUUGGAUGGUCCCUCGUUGGAUUAGCUAGUUGGUAGGGUAAAAGCCUACCAAGGCGACGAUCCAUAGCUGGUCUGAGAGGAUGAUCAGCCACACUGGGACUGAGACACGGCCCAGACUCCUACGGGAGGCAGCAGUGGGGAAUAUUGGACAAUGGGCUAAAGCCUGAUCCAGCAAUGCCGCGUGAGUGAUGAAAGCCUUAGGGUUGUAAAGCUCUUUUACCCGGGAUGAUAAUGACAGUACCGGGAGAAUAAGCUCCGGCUAACUCGGUG